rnacentral:rRNA from 1 species
AUUUUUUUAUGGGUUUAAAAUUUAAGUGAAUUAUAUUUUAGUUUGAAACAAAACUUAUUUAAAUUUAAAUAACUGGGGGGGAACAGUGAAAUAAGUUUAAAUAAGUUUUAUUAAACUAAAUAAGUAUGUACUUUUUGUAUUAUGGUUACUUAAAUUAAUUAAUGAUUUUUGUUUUCCCGAGGGUUAAAGAUUUUAGUUUAAUUUAAGUGAUUGUGGAAUUAAUCAGUUUAAAUAAAACUCAGCACUGAGAGGGUUACGGUUUAAUUAGUAUCUGGUUACUUAAGAAAAUAAAAGUUAGCGUUUUACUGGUUAAAAUUAAUUUUAACAACGUUAAAUUACUUAGGGAUGAGCUUGAGUAUUAAUAACUUACAAUUAGUUUAUUAUGUGCUUUCGGUUAGAGGCUUGAAAAAAGCUUUUAGUUAGUUAUAUUUUAUGAUCGUUGAAAAAGGAUUUUUUUUAUAUUUAAUAAUUUUAAGUUGAAACUAAUUUAUUUGUUUUAUUGAAAAUAAUGAGUUAAUUAUUAGGAAUUAAGUAGAUUUAUUUUUUUAAGAGAAUGGCUUCAUUAACUCUACAUAAUUUUUAGGAUUGUUUAUCAAAAACAUUUCUUUUUGUUCAUUUACAAAGUAAGACCUGCCCACUGAAAAUUGAAGGGCCGCGGUAUUUUGACCGUGCUAAGGUAGCAUAAUCAUUAGUCUCUUAAUUAGGGAAUGGAAUGAAUGGUUUAACUUAAAAAUUUUUUAUUAGGCUGUAAAGUUUGAAUUUUAAUUAUGACUGAAAAUGUUCAUUUAGAACUAAAAGACGAUAAGACCCUAUAGAGCUUAAUAUCUUUUUCCGAUCUUACUUUGGGGGGAAAGUAAGAUCGGAAAAAGAUAUUUAGUUGGGGCAACAUUAGAACAAAAAAAACUUCUGACUACUUAAAAAAAUCUUUAAUUUAAAAAUUUAAAUAGUUACCUUAGGGAUAACAGCGUUAUAAUUUUUAAGAGUCCAAAUCGACAGAAUUGUUUGCGACCUCGAUGUUGAAUUAAAAAAUCUUUCUGGGGCAGAACUUUUAGAAGACGGUCUGUUCGACCAAUAAAUUUUUACAUGAUUUGAGUUCAAACCGGUGUGAGCCAGGUUGGUUUCUAUCUUUGGUUUAAGGAAAAAUUUUUUCUAGUACGCAAGGACCGUUAAGAGGAAUUAGUUU